rnacentral:rRNA from 1 species
UUCCGGUUGAUCCUGCCGGAGGUCACUGCUAUGGGAUUCGGCUAAGCCAUGCAAGCGGAGGGCGCGGUCGAAAGAUCGUGGCCCCGCACACUGCUCAGUAACACGUAGUCAACCUACCCUUGGGACGGGGACAACCUCGGGAAACUGAGGCUAAUCCCCGAUAGGUGAGGGACGCUGGGAUGCCUCCUCGCCCAAAGCUCCGGCGCCCAAGGAUGGGACUGCGGUCUAUCAGGCUGUUGGUGGUGUAACGGACCACCAAACCUACGACGGGUACGGGCGAUGGGAGUCGGAGCCCGGAGAUGGGGACUGAGACAAGGCCCCAGGCCCUACGGGGCGCAGCAGGCGCGAAAACUCCGCAAUGCGCGCAAGCGUGACGGGGGGAUCCCAAGUGCCGUUGGUCUUUCGAUCGACGGUUUUUAGGAAGUCUAAGAAGCUUCCAGAAUAAGGGCUGGGCAAGACUGGUGCCAGCCGCCGCGGUAACACCAGCAGCCCGAGUGGUGGCCACGAUUAUUGGGCCUAAAGCGCUCGUAGCCGGAUCAGCAAGUCCCUUGUGAAAUCGGGCCGCCUAACGGUUCGGCGUGCAAGGGAUACUGUUGGUCUUGAGGCCGGGAGAGGUCGGAGGUACUCCUGGGGUAGCGGUGAAAUGCUCUAAUCCUAGGGGGACCACCAGUGGCGAAGGCGUCCGACCAGAACGGACCUGACGGUGAGGGGCGAAGGCUAGGGGAGCGAACGGGAUUAGAUACCCCAGUAGUCCUAGCUGUAAAGCAUGCGGGCCAGGUGUCUAGCGCUCCUUGAGGGCGCUAGGUGCCGGAGGGAAGCCGUUAAGCCCGCCGCCUGGGAAGUACGGCCGCAAGGCUGAAACUUAAAGAAAUUGGCGGGGGAGCACCACAAGAGGUGGGACCUGCGGUUCAAUUGGAAUCAACGCCGGU